GUGUGUGUGUGUGUGUGUGUGUGUGUGUGUGUGUGUAUGUGUGUGUGUAUUUUGCAUACACAUCUAGCGAUCUAUUAAUACUAAAUGUAGUAGUUAGGUGUGUGUGUGUGUGUGUGUGUGUGUGUGUGUGUGUGUGUGGGACACGCACACACACAGUCACGGCCUUGUGACAGGGAGAAGCGGGCGUUGUGUUGUUGCAGCAGACCUCAGCUUCCUCAUCAGCCUCCUCCUGAUAUGAGGAAGUCGAGCUCUGAUAUCCCCGAUCGGAUGUGUUCCUGCCUGCAGUUUGCGUGGAGCCUCGGGGUGGUUCCACAUGAAGCCCGUGGGGACAAGUGUUCACGCCUCCCUGAUCAUUUAGUAUCUGUGACAUUUAAAAAAAAGCAAAUAUACAGUAAAAGGAAAUAGUUGCUUAGCGGUCUGACAUUUGGGCUGUGGUAAACUUCGAUACUAUGAUGAAUCCAAAGUUCCCAAGUGUGGAGAGAAGGCCGCGGAGGCCUAAACAGUGAUUUACUGUGGAGCUGCCCACUGUACGACGCGGAGGACGAGAAGUACAUAGUGUCUUUACAGCCAAGAGUUGGCCGAGCUAUCGUCUGGCUCAGGACAGUGGGUUUUCGCUUGGCCCCCCUCUCUGUGGGGGGUGGAGGGGGCAUCGGGGGGUUGCUUUGGCAUGUGCCAAGGAAAUAAAACGAAGAACACAGCUUAUUUUGAAAGCGUUUUCAGGACCUUGAAGUAUAGGAAUGUUUCAGCUUUCAAGGGGUUUCAUUUAAUUCACUGUAAGUUAGUUUUAAGGGUAAAUCUCUCUCCAGCAAAGGUCACAUACAACAAAACAAAUAAAUAGGAGCACGUUAUAUGCAGCUCUGAAGCCA